UUGGGUUCUUCUACAAAAAAAUUUCCAUAUGAAAAAUGAACUUCACAUAGCAAACAGACUAAGCAAUUCACAAAAAAUUAACAGAAAAAAAUCGCAUCAGUAUAUGUUAAUACAGAUAAAAAUUAUAAAUAAUUCAUCAAUUUUUUAUUUUUUAUUUUUUUCAAAAAGUAGAGCCCUCAGAUCUCAUAGCUUCUAGAAUCACAGACGGCUAAUCCGGUGGGGAUCCAUCAGAGGCCUCGAACGCACCACCAUCACAACCAAGCAACCACGUGAAUGUGUGUGCGGUGUAUUUAUCUAUCAAUAGUAAAGAGGUGGAGGUGGAGGUGGAGGUGGAGGUGGAGGUGGCUGAUUAUUCCAGUGAUGCGCGAAGGCCAACGAUGAAUCAACCACCACCAUGCCGCAUCAACGUAUUAAUUUUUCCAUCAUUGGGCAAAUUUUUAGAAAAACAAUCAAAUCCAAAGCGAAUUACAAAUUCAAAUAGACACAGGAGAGUGGCAACGGCGUGCAGUGCAGCCAAACUAGGGUUUUUUAGAUCGAGAGGAGGAAACGGAAAUAGGAUUUUAUAGACUUUUUGAUGGGUUUAAUCACGUAGUUGGGCUGUUGUAGAUAUUGAGAUUCCUUUAUAAUUGGGUCAAGCCCAAUAUUAUUCAUUCCAACAAGUAUUGACUUUUCUGGCCCGUCCGAUUCAAUGGGUUACGUCACUGGUUUUCUUUGAACUGUCCCGUUACCUUUCGUUUUCAAUUGCCACUUGCCAGUUUCAGUUUACCAAAUCUGGUCCGAAUUUAAUAACAUUGCUAACAGGCUUCCACUCUAUAUAUAUGGUUCGACUCAUUUCAGCACCAAAUCAUUGCUCGACCAAGCAGGCUUCCACUUGAAGCAGUACUCACGACGAAAAACCGCAAUCAAAUAAGCCCAAUAGAAA
rnacentral:lncRNA from 1 species